CCUCUUCUAGUCAUUAUAGGAAAUGUCAAAUAUAAACCUAGCUGACUUUGGUUCAGCACAAAUUCUUACAAGUAUGGAAGUCUUAAUGGGGGUCUUGUAAACUCCAAGGGGUUAGCAACGCCUCAGUCUAGAACAAACCACAAGAAUGACAUGUUAACACAGUUUUCAGCAAAUAUCCGAGAACAGUGAGCCACUUCAUUGGAACAUUUGCAUUGUGUUCCUGGGCUAUUCAGGGGAGGGUAGAGGAGGCCUGCUACUCAUGGUGAAGGCAGCUAGCUCUAAACCUCCCUUAGUGAGGGAUGACCUGUGUGUAUGGAUUCAACAUGAAAGACUGAGGAGAUCCGUUAUCAAAAUGUACCAAAGAGUUGUACUGGGACGUGUGCCAGGCACUUGUGAUACAGCCAAUAGAGAGCAGACCAGUUGGAAUCAGACAGCUGUUGCAAAGAUGCCAGGACUGCAUUAGUCCCUCUGCUUCUUGGUCCCACUCUAAGAAUACUAGAAGACAGAGCUGAAGACAGGAUGGUGCUGAACACGCAAUCGUGCACACAGCCUGGAAUCUUCUCUCAAGGAACUGUUUGAAGGCUACUGAGCUGAACAAAGACUCGGAGCAAUUCAACAAGUCUGAGGUCAAACCUUCCUUCGCUGACCUAUGCACUAUUUCCAGUUUCAUUUUUUUAUUUGGAUGAAAUCAAUGUGGGAACUCAGGAAGGGGCAAAGGCAGAAACCAUGGAAGAAAGCUGCUUCCUGGUUUGUUCUCCAUGGCUUGUUCUUCUUGCUUUCACAUACCACCCAGGACUAUCUGACCAGAACUGCUUGAGUCUACUUAAGUCACUUCCCAAUCGGUAGUCCCGACCUUGGCUCCUAGCCACCCGCUGCGUCCUGCUGGCCCACCUCUUCCACCUGGGCAGCGGAAGAGUAGCCAAGCAGAAGAGACCCUGCAGCCUACCUUGCUCUGGCUUCCGGUCGCCCUUGGAGAGCGGCAACUCAUUGGCAGCUUCGCCUAGGUCAGAACCCUACAGAUUGCCCACGGAUAGCACCCAGUAUGAAGAACAGGGCUACUGCUUCCAGGGGAAUGGGCUCUCCCACAUCAAUCAUUAAUCAAGAAAAUCUCAAGAACUCAAGAAGAUGGACUCCAGAAAACCAAAUAACCCUACUAAAAAAUGGGGUACAGGGCUAAACGAAGAAUUCUCAACUAAGGAAUAACGAAUGGCUGAGAAGCACCUGAAAAAGUGUUCAACAUCUUUAGUCA
rnacentral:lncRNA from 7 species